GAUGAACGCUGGCGGCGUGCCUAAUACAUGCAAGUCGAGCGAACAGAUGAGAAGCUUGCUUCUCUGAUGUUAGCGGCGGACGGGUGAGUAACACGUGGGUAACCUACCUAUAAGACUGGGAUAACUCCGGGAAACCGGGGCUAAUACCGGAUAAUAUUUUGAACCGCAUGGUUCAAUAGGGAAAGACGGUUUCGGCUGUCCCUUAUAGAUGGACCCGCGCCGUAUUAGCUAGUUGGUAAGGUAACGGCUUACCAGGGCGACGAUACGUAGCCGACCUGAGAGGGUGAUCGGCCACACUGGAACUGAGACACGGUCCAGACUCCUACGGGAGGCAGCAGUAGGGAAUCUUCCGCAAUGGGCGAAAGCCUGACGGAGCAACGCCGCGUGAGUGAUGAAGGUCUUCGGAUCGUAAAACUCUGUUGUUAGGGAAGAACAAAUUUGUUAGUAACUGAACAAGUCUUGACGGUACCUAACCAGAAAGCCACGGCUAACUACGUGCCAGCAGCCGCCGUAA
rnacentral:rRNA from 1 species